AUGCAGGUGCGUCCAGUUUCCACCACCUCAUGAAUAGAACUUAUCUUGGUGCCAUAUAGGUUGCCAUCAUACUCGCCAUGCUCCAAGAAACAUCCCGAUUUAAUAUCCAUCUCCAUUUCCAUCCGUGUUACAAACUGUGAUCGGGAUACAGCAUCAGCAGACGGGUUUUCAGGCUUCGGCGCCCGACUCCCUGCGCUCCGAUCAUGAUCAGUGUUUUCCUCUGGAACGGUGGCAUGUAUGUUACCUCCUCAUAGAUCUGCAGCUCGUGACCAUCGAAUUCUACAUUUCACCCAUCCAGUAAAUACAGAAAAUGCUCAGUCACAUCCACAUCAAACACGGAGGUGUCAACAUUCAGAAAAUAAACCACCGAGUGACUUGCCUGCA